rnacentral:miRNA from 1 species
UAGGUUGGCGCAAAAGUAAUUGCAGUUUUUGCUAUUACUUUUAUGGCAAAAACUGCAAUUACUUUUGCACCAGCCUAAUAUU